AGACUGGGCUAGAUGACCAAUCAGAGUUCAGGAGGCUCUGAGGGAACAGUGACAGUCAAAUACAUGCUGAAAGAUCAACCAGUAACAAACCAGCUCCACUUCUGCCUCAAACCAACUGAGGAAACAGGGAGGAAAGGUCAGGUGAUAGAGUUGUGUUUGGC